GCUGCGGCAACCGCGGCUGCUCUCUGACGUCACCGAGCUGGCAGGCAGGAGGCGGCUCGACAGUUUGAACCGCGAACGGAGAGAGAGCGAGAGAAAGAGUGUGUGUGUGUAUGUAUGUGUGUAUAGAUAGACACGGGUUUGUCCGGUUACGGCACGCAGGCGAGUGUUUUACAGUCACUGUGUUCAGACUCGGAGAGGAAAUUAAGGAAAAUACCGACGAAGAAGAGCAGAGGAGGGGGGAAAAGAGAAGAAGAAGAAGGGUCGCGGCCGUUGGCGCUCAGUGAAACUUUAAGAUGGAAAAUUCAUCCAGCAACAGCCGGUUUCGGUCCACAGUGUUCAACCACGAUGAUGAGACACAAUGCCAACAGUGUUUCAGCAGAUCUGCGGCUCUGACUCCAGACUCCGGUAGCGUUGUGAUAAGACCCAGCAGGAGCCAAAAAUCACACAAGGUGGUUUUUGUGUUCGUGUAAUGUGGGAGCUAGACGGGCUGGAAUUCAGUGCAGCACAAGCGAGGCCGCACAACAAACCCACCAGCUUCCUUUCUCCAGGGCACACAGAGUUCACCACCCGGCAGAUGUUGGCCCUUUUUUGUUUGUUUGUUUGUUUUUGUUUUAUUUUUUGUUUUUGUUUAUUGCCAC
ensembl:lncRNA